rnacentral:rRNA from 1 species
UUGAUCCUGGCUCAGAAUCAACGCUGGCGGCGUGCCUAACACAUGCAAGUCGAACGCGAAAAGGGCUUCGGCUCUUAGUAGAGUGGCGAACGGGUGAGUUACACGUGGGUGACCUACCUUCGAAUGGGGGAUAACGUCCCGAAAGGGACUCUAAUACCGCAUAACAUCCUGCUUUUGAACAGGUGGAGAUCAAAGCCGGUGAUCGCAAGACCUGGCGUUUGAAGAGGGGCCCGCGUCUGAUUAGCUAGUUGGUGAGGUAACGGCCCACCAAGGCGACGAUCAGUAUCCGGCCUGAGAGGUCGGACGGACACACUGGGACUGAGACACGGCCCAGACUCCUACGGGAGGCUGCAGUGGGGAAUUGUUCGCAAUGGGCGCAAGCCUGACGACGCAGCGCCGUGUGGAGGAUGAAGGUCUUCGGAUUGUAAACUCCUGUUGCUCGGGACGAAUAGCUUCGACCUAACACGUCGAAGUCUGACGGUACCGGGUGAGGAAGCCCUGGCUAACUCUGUGCCAGCAGCCGCGGUAAUAAGGU